rnacentral:sRNA from 1 species
GGGCCUUCGGUGGCCGGAAGUCGCGGUCCCUUUACCGACUCUAGGAAGGGCUGGAUAUGUUUCGAAUGGGCGCUUGCGAGAGAGGUGGCCAACUCUCCCUGUCCAGCCGCCUGCAGCUGACCCUGUACCAGUACAAGACUUGUCCCUUCUGCAGCAAGAAAGGUGCCCAUCCUGGUGGCCCAGGAAGGAGAAAGCUUGCAACAACUGAACGACUCCUCUGUCAUCAUCAGUGCCCUCAAGACCUACCUGGUGUCGGGCCCCUGGAAGAGAUCAUCACCUACUACCCAGCCAUGAAGGCUGUGAACGACCAGGGCAGGGAGGUGACCGAGUUCGGCAAUAAGUACUGGCUCAUGCUCAACGAGAAGGAGGCCCAGCAAGUGUAUGGCGGGAAGGAGGCCAGGACGGAGGAGAUGAAGUGGCGGCAGUGGGCGGACGACUGGCUGGUGCACCUGAUCUCCCCCAAUGUGUACCGCACGCCCACCGAGGCUCUGGCGUCCUUUGACUACAUUGUCCGCGAGGGCAAGUUCGGAGCCGUGGAGGGCGCCGUGGCCAAGUACAUGGGUGCAGCAGCCAUGUACCUCAUCAGCAAGCGACUCAAGAGCAGGCACCGCCUCCAGGACAAUGUGCGCGAGGACCUC